rnacentral:rRNA from 1 species
UACGUAGGGGGCAAGCGUUGUCCGGAUUUAUUGGGCGUAAAGAGCGUGUAGGCGGCUAGAUAGGUCCGUUGUGAAAACUCGAGGCUCAACCUCGAGACGUCGAUGGAAACCAUCUGGCUAGAGUCCGGAAGAGGAGAGUGGAAUUCCUGGUGUAGCGGUGAAAUGCGCAGAUAUCAGGAAGAACACCGGUGGUGUAGACGGCUUUCUGGACCGUAACUGACGCUGAGACACGAAAGCGUGGGUAGCAAACAGG